rnacentral:rRNA from 1 species
ACCCCGGAAGGGGAGUGAAAGAGAACCUGAAACCGUGUGUCUACAAGUAGUCAAAGCACAUUAAAGUGCAAUGGCGUGCCUUUUGUAGAAUGAACCGGCGAGUUACGUUAUCUAGCGAGGUUAAGUCAGAAAAGACGGAGCCGGAGCGAAAGCGAGUCUGAAGAGGGCGAGAAGUUAGGUGACGUAGACCCGAAACCAAGUGACCUACCCAUGACCAGGCUGAAGGCGUGGUAAAACGCGCUGGAGGGCCGAACCCACGUAAGUUAAAAAUUGCGGGGAUGAGUUGUGGGUAGCGGUGAAAUUCCAAACGAACUUGGAGAUAGCUGGUUCUCUCCGAAAUAGCUUUAGGGCUAGCCUCGUGGAGAGGAUAAUGGAGGUAGAGCUCUGUUUGGACUAGGGGCCCGUCAGGGGUUACUGAAUCCAGAUAAACUACGAAUUCCAGAUAUCUAUACACGGGAGUCAGACUGCGAGUGAUAAGAUCCGUAGUCGAAAGGGAAACAGCCCAGAUCACCAGUUAAGGUCCCCAAAUCUAUGCUAAGUGGAAAAGGAUGUGGAGUUGCGUAGACAACUAGGAUGUUGGCUUAGAAGCAGCCACCAUUUAAAGAGUGCGUAAUAGCUCACUAGUCGAGUGGCGCUGCGCCGAAAAUUUACCGGGGCUAAGCAUAGUACCGAAACUGUGGAUGUACGUAAGUACGUGGUAGGAGAGCGUUCUAAGUGCGGCGAAGGUUAACCGAGAGGAUAAUUGGAGCGCUUAGAAGUGAGAAUGCCGGUAUGAGUAGCGAAAGAUAGGUGAGAAUCCUAUCCGCCGAAAGACUAAGGUUUCCUGGGGCAGGCUCGUCCGCCCAGGGUAAGUCGGGACCUAAGGCAAGGCCGAGAGGCGUAGUCGAUGGAUAACAGGUAGAGAUUCCUGUACUGUGUUCAAUCGUUAAGAGCGAAGGAGGGACGCAGGAGGUGAAGCACGCAUCGCGAUGGAACGAUGUUCAAGCGACAAGUGCGGUUAAGAGUCAAAUGCUUCUAACCAGCAACACGAGUCGUGAUGAGGAGCGAAGUAAAAGUAGCGAAGGUGUGGUAGUCACACUGCCAAGAAAAGCUUCUAGCCAGAGAGAACAUACCCGUACCGCAAACCGACACAGGUAGUCGAGUGGAGAACACUAAGGUGAGCGAGAGAACUCUCGUUAAGGAACUCGGCAAAAUGACCCCGUAACUUCGGAAGAAGGGGUGCUGGCCAUGAGAAUGGUUAGCCGCAGUGAAUAGGCCCAAACAACUGUUUAUCAAAAACACAGGUAUCUGCAAAAUCGUAAGAUGACGUAUA